rnacentral:rRNA from 1 species
AUUGAACGCUGGCGGCAGGCCUAACACAUGCAAGUCGAACGAGUGGCGGACGGGUGUGUAACGUCUGGAAAACUGCCUGAUGGAGGGGGAUAACUAUUGGAAAAGGUAGCUAAUACCGCAUACCAUCAGAUGUGCCCAGAUGGGCUUAGCUUGUUGGUGGGGUAACGGCUCACAAAGGCGACGACCCCUAGCUGGUAUGAGAGGAGGACCAGCCACACGGGAACUGAGACACGGUCCAGACUCCUACGUACGGCAGCAGUGGGGAAUAUUGCACAAUGGGCGCAAUCCUGAUGCAGCCAUGCCGCGUGUUUGAGGAAGGCCUUCGGGUUGAAAAGUACUUUCAGCGGGGAGGCGUUACCCGCAGAAGAAGCACCGGCUAACUCCGUGCCAGCAGCCGCGGUAAUUC